rnacentral:rRNA from 1 species
CCAGCCGUAAACGAUGCGCGUUAGGUGUAUCGGUGACCACGAGUCACCGAGGUGCCGAAGGGAAACCGUGAAACGUGCCGCCUGGGAAGUACGGUCGCAAGGCUGAAACUUAAAGGAAUUGGCGGGGGAGCACCACAACAGGUGGAGCCUGCGGUUUAAUCGGACUCAACGCCGGAAACCUCACCGGAUAAGACAGCGGGAUGAUAGCCAGGCUGAAGACUUUGCUUGACUAGCUGAGAGGAGG